rnacentral:lncRNA from 1 species
CUACCUCAUGUACUUUCCUAGGAAAGUUUCCUGAAUAGACCUCUCCUCUUUUUUUUUUUUUUUUUUUUUUUUUUUUUUUUUUUUUUUUUUUUUUGGUGGUGGUUGUUUAUUUUGUUGUGGAUUUUGAAGGAGGAAGAAUGAUAGAUGAAUGGAUGGAUGGUUUAAAUAAAUAGAUACUUCUACCAGAUACUUCGAGAUCUUGUCUAGCCCUAACUUCCUACGUUGGAUAUGAGAACCAUAAAUACCAAAGAAAGUAGUUGGUACCUUUCUCUGGUCAUGAGGCCAGUCAGUUUUUCUAUGAACAUCUCUUCAGAGGAGCUUUAUUUUUAGAAGAGCUUUAAAA